AAAACGCAGAAAAACAAUAAACAAAAGUGCAAAGAAAACAGAAAAACAGAAAAACAGCAAAUAACAAACGUAAAUUGCAAGCAAUUUGUAAUCUGGAUCCUAAUGCAAUUUCUCUCUCUCCUUCUGCACAGUCGUUCCACUGUGGCCAAAACCAAAUCCCCACAAAAUACCAUUAAAAAAUCAUUUUCAAAUUGGAUUAAUAAUCUGCAGAUCAACCUGGGAAGCAGACUUUGAAUAAUAAAUAGCUGCCUAAAAAAGUUAAAAGAAAAAACCAUGUCAAGACGCCAAUAAAGCAAAUAAAACCGAAUCAGACGAAAUGCAAAAACCAAAGAAACAAACAAAAAAACGGAAAACAUAAAUAGUCGGACAAUAAAAGUGCGUGAAAGAAGGGCAAACGAAAUGGGAAAAGAGACAAAAGAGAGAUGAGCAGAGAAAGAGAGAGAAAGAAGAGCGACGCAUUGGGGCAACUUAACCCCAAUUUGGUUAACUGCAGCUUGAGCCACAAAUUAUUUGGCAACGUUUUUAUGGCUCCGCCGAAUUCUCGUCUCGACUACACAAUACAUAUGUAUAUAUACUGUAUAAGAUAUAUAUCGCUGUGUGGGGCUGGCUUACGAGGAGUAUUGCGUAAGCGGAGAAACUCGUAUUGCUGGGGCUGCACUCUGGAGCAUGUGAUACUUACAUAUACGUACAUACAUACUUGUAGAGACCUAUAGUGCCGCUGCUGCUGGGGCCUUAAAUCCGGUUUCGUUUUGGCUUGGACGGUUUUUGGAGGGGACUGCGAUCUGACCAUUUUUUCAUCAUGUAAUAAAACCCAAAAUAUACGAUCUGCUUGUUGGAAAACAAGUUCCGCCAUGGAUUUGUUAGCUCCGUUCGUCUUGCUUAUAUUUUCUUUUUUUGAUGCUUUAUAUAAAUCUUAUUUUUCUUCUUUCUUUCUUUCUUUUGUGCCCCUUUUUGCUCUUUUUCCUGGCCCGAGCUUAUGUAAGUCAAUCGAAACACUCGUCAUAUGCAAAUGAUUUCUCAAUUUUUGCUGCUCUUUUUCAACGUUUUUCCUCUUUUGGUUUGGAUUUUGGCUCCGGCUCGGGCUUGGGCUUGGACUUGGGUCGAAUCGAUUCGAUGAUGAUUAUGUAUUCAGGUUGUUUUGUUUAAUUAUUUGUUUUUGGUUAAUUGGUAGCUGUGGUGGGCGGGUCGUUGGAGGUGACCAUAAUAGCUACUGGCUAUACGGAUCACCUAGUUAUCGGAGGUAACAUUUAUCAUUGGGUUUGCCCUUUCGUUGCCUCAAGUUCGUGUCUUAAGUCGUUUGUUAUUCCGUUUCCAAACCAGUUUGGGGUUUCCCCAUUUCUCUCUGUAGCGACUAGCGAUUACCGGCUAGAAUCGGUUGGAUAGCUACAACAAUUUGUUU